AAAUUAUUGUACAUCGGAUGAG
rnacentral:miRNA from 2 species